rnacentral:rRNA from 1 species
AGAGUUUGAUCCUGGCUCAGGACGAACGCUGGCGGCGUGCUUAACCAUGCAAGUCGAGCGGAAAGGCCCCUUCGGGGGUACUCGAGCGGCGAACGGGUGAGUAACACGUGAGUAACCUGCCCUCGACUCUGGGAUAAGCCUGGGAAACUGGGUCUAAUACCGGAUAUUCACCUCCUGUCGCAUGGUGGGGGGUGGAAAGUUCCUCCGUUUGGGGGUUCGGUCGGGGAUGGGCUCGCGGCCUAUCAGCUAGUUGGUGGGGUAAAGGCCUACCAAGGCGACGAUCCGUAGCUGGUUUGAGAGGACGACCAGCCACACUGGGACAUGAGACACGGCCCAGACUCCUACGGGAGGCAGCAGUGGGGAAUUUUGGACAAUGGGGGCAACCCUGAUCCAGCCAUGCCGCGUGUGCGAAGAAGGCCUUCGGGUUGUAAAGCACUUUUGGCGGGAAAGAAACGGCGCCGGCUAAUACCUGGC